AGCAUCCUUUUCUUGGGGUUGUGCUACUGUCCAUUGAGCAUGUUGUAAGAGCAGUACAGUUAAUGCCUAAACAACACAUUCACGUCAAGUAGAGCUCUGCUUUACAUUGGUGUAAUUUUUGGAAAA